rnacentral:rRNA from 1 species
AGAGUUUGAUCCUGGCUCAGGAUGAACGCUAGCGGGAGGCUUAACACAUGCAAGUCGAGGGGCAGCACGAUGUAGCAAUACGUUGGUGGCGACCGGCGCACGGGUGAGUAACGCGUAUGCAACCUACCCUGUACAGGGGGAUAGCCCGGAGAAAUUCGGAUUAAUACCCCAUAAAGAUAUUUAGAGGCAUCUUUAGAUAUUUAAAGUUUCGGCGGUACGGGAUGGGCAUGCGUAAGAUUAGCUAGUUGGUAGGGUAACGGCCUACCAAGGCUCCGAUCUUUAGGGGUCCUGAGAGGGUGAUCCCCCACAUUGGUACUGAGACACGGACCAAACUCCUACGGGAGGCAGCAGUGAGGAAUAUUGGUCAAUGGGCGAGAGCCUGAACCAGCCAAGUAGCGUGAAGGAUGAAGGUCCUAUGGAUUGUAAACUUCUUUUAUAGUAGAAUAAAGUGAGCCACGUGUGGUUUUUUGUAUGUAUACUAUGAAUAAGGAUCGGCUAACUCCGUGCCAGCAGCCGCGGUAAUACGGAGGAUCCGAGCGUUAUCCGGAUUUAUUGGGUUUAAAGGGUGCGUAGGCGGAAUAAUAAGUCAGUUGUGAAAGUUUGCGGCUCAACCGUAAAAUUGCAGUUGAUACUGUUAUUCUUGAGUGUACAUAAGGUAGGCGGAAUUCGUGGUGUAGCGGUGAAAUGCUUAGAUAUCACGAAGAACUCCAAUUGCGAAGGCAGCUUACCGGGGUACAACUGACGCU